AGUGACGGAGUUUUGAAGUAGCUUGGAACCGAACCUACAGUAUCUUCAGUGUAUGCUUGUAUGCACCUGCUCCGUUCUAUCCUUAAAGCAUCAAAGUCAACCAACCCAGAUUCUAUGCUGCAUGCCCUGUGCUUAGUCCAGACUUCUAUUAAAGCAAUUGCUGGUGGUUUUUAGUUCUCCUCAUGAAACUUGUUUUCCUCCUCG